GUAGGUGGCAAGCGUUGUCCGGAAUUAUUGGGCGUAAAGCGCGCGCAGGCGGUCCUUUAAGUCUGAUGUGAAAGCCCACGGCUCAACCGUGGAGGGUCAUUGGAAACUGGGGGACUUGAGUACAGAAGAGGAAAGCGGAAUUCCAAGUGUAGCGGUGAAAUGCGUAGAGAUUUGGAGGAACACCAGUGGCGAAGGCGGCUUUCUGGUCUGUAACUGACGCUGAGGCGCGAAAGCGUGGGGAGCAAACAGGGUUUAGAUACCCUGGUAGUCCACGCCGUAAACGAUGAGUGCUAAGUGUUAGGGGGUUUCCCGCCCCCUUAGUGCUGCAGCUAACGCAUUAAGCACUCCGCCUGGGGAGUACGGCCGCAAGACUG
rnacentral:rRNA from 1 species